rnacentral:lncRNA from 1 species
AAGAUCCCUACAAUGAAGAAUUUCCCAAAGCCCCUCAACUGAUACAGCUGGUUAGAGGAAGAGUAAUAGAGGCUGGGACCUUGUAAUGAGAAGAGGGCAGGAUGACUCAAGCAGAUUUUUCCAAAUAUAAAAGUCUGCAACCGAGCAACUUGUCUGGGCUGAUUGCCUUCUUAGAUAAAGAGGAUUGAGUACUGGAAAAAAGAAAAAAAAAAAGCAUGCGGAAAAGAAAUCAAAGACCUGAUCUCUGUCCAUUAAACAAGUUCCAGGGAGAAGGCUGUGACAGUGCUGAGCCAAACAAGAAGGAAACAACCACAGAGAAGGAAAGCAGCGGAUGACAGAAGAACUAAUGAAAAAUUAACUUAUCUUUCAACAUCCACAAUCUGUCUGCUCUUUGAAUAUUUUAAAGGAAAUAUUGAAUAGCAGAGAAAUAAAUUCCUGGCUUAGGUUUUUUUUUUCA